rnacentral:rRNA from 1 species
CACGUAGUUAGCCGUGGCUUUCUGGUAAGGUACCGUCACGCAUCAAGCAUUGCCUCUUGAUACUUUUCUUCCCUUACAACAGAGCUUUACAACCCGAAGGCAUUCUUCACUCACGCGGCGUUGCUCGGUCAAGGUUGCCCCCAUUGCCGAAAAUUCCCUACUGCUGCCUCCCGUAGGAGUCUGGGCCGUGUCUCAGUCCCAGUGUGGCCGGUCACCCUCUCAGGUCGGCUACGCAUCAUCGCCUUGGUGAGUCUUUUAUCUCACCAACUAGCUAAUGCGCCGUAAGCCCAUCUAAGCGUGUUGGACUAGCCAACUUUCAUUCAUCGAAGAUGCCUCCAAUGAAUCUAUUCGGUAUUAGCUUUCGUUUACCAAAAGUUAUCCCGAUCGCUAAGGUAGGUUGCUUACGUAUUACUCACCCAUUCGCCACUGACCGCUUAGAAGCAAGCUUCUAUUUGGUCCGUUCGACUUGCAUGUAUUAGGCACGCCGCAGCGUUCAU